rnacentral:lncRNA from 1 species
UUGAAAUCUUUGCACGUAUCUACUUCAUGAAAACCAUGCAUAUUUCAGUACAUUAGUGGCUUGUACUACAUCGUUAAUUAUGCAAAAAGAAGUUGAGUAUGACUGUCACUGCAAAGUAUGUCAAUAUCUAUCACAAAUAUGUGAGUACAUAGAUAAAAUUAAGCCACCCUUUGAAGUAUAACUAAACAUCAGACUGGACUCGCCCAGAUUGAGCAUAUCACAAGCAUAAAUAUCUUGAUGAGACAUGGUAGCACCAUUUUUGGUACAUGGCCAGCAACAUGCAUUAAGGACUAAUCUGAUCACCAUUUAACAAGCAUUGUUAUUUAAAAUUAUAAGCUCUAGUAUCUUGAUGGCCCUCCUGUUCUACUACUCCUUGUUCAUCAAGCUUCUUGUUUUGGGAGAGAUCACACCAAGCAAACACGAUUCAGUUCAGCACAGACACGUACAGAUGCCUGAUCAACAACAGAGUUAAAGUCAAGUUGCAGAGAAAUUCUCUCAAUUGUCAGAAAGGGGGGACUUUGAUAAAAGCUUCUUCUAUCCAUCUGUAGUCCUGAUGUUUCCGCUUGUCAGAGCAGCAUGCAUCUACAAAUACAAGGAAAAAAUAUAGUUUACAUUACAAGGAAAGAAAUAGGAAAAUUAUGUUCUCUAAUACUGAUCAUGUAUGUAUUGAACAAUUAAGAGUGCAAUUCAAGUUGUUUUGCUAACUCGUACUCCCUCCUUCCGAAAAGACUUGUCCCAAACUUGUCCCUCAAAGGGAUGUAUCUAGCACUAAAUUGGUGUUAGAUACAUCCAUUUGAGGGACAAGCUUUUUCGAACGGAGGGAGUAGAUGACAAAAGUAAAAACUUGAUGCUGUAGCACAAAGGCACAUGUCAAACCAGUGAAGAGAAGACGAAACUAAUAUCAUACGGCAAAAUAUAUUCACAGCUUGACAAUGACGGAUCACUUGUAUCAAUUUUCACAGCAAGUAGGUCAAAACAAUCAGCCAUUUAGUCCCUCCAAUGGACAUUUACUGCUAAUUGUAGAUUGUGACCUAGCAUUGCCUUAAUGCACACAUCUUUGCUGACAGAAGCACUACAAGUGCAGGCCACGAUGUUUGCGUUCACUGAAGCUGUUGGCUUCCACUCCAAACAGCUUAGAAGCGCCUCUUAUUGCUCAAGUACUUUGCAAUUAGCAGCAAAGACACAAAGAAAUUAUGAUUUUAUUGUAAUGAGUAUAAACAAUACCAAAAAUCAUCAAAGAAGGGAUUAACGGAAAAAACAUCAAAGAAGGGAUUAAUGGAAAAUUAGGCAAUGACAAAAUAUUCUUGCCUUUUUGGACUAUGUCUUGUCACCUGAUAGUGUUGGUACAAAUUUUGCAAUUACUGGAACUAUGGGCUCGCCUAACGGCGAUGUCUCACUACUUCCCUCCAUUUCAGUUCAAGAUGCAGCAGCAAAAUAGCGGAAAACAAACUUAGUACUAGUCGACGAGCUUCGACCUAUCCAUCAUAUGGAGAGCAGAAAAUCGAGAAAUCAGCCCCAAUUCCAAGAUUGCAAUGUUAAGGCUGCAAAUUAAAAAGAUACACAGAAAGAGAGUCUUCUUUUCUACUGUACAUACAAAAGGUAAAAAAGUUGUUGUGCCUAUAAGCACUUUACAUGCAGGUAAUUUAAUAGGUAGAUGAGAUUAGUUUGUUCAUAUGUACAAUAUCUGAGAAGAGGAUGAAAUCUCAAUAUAUAAAACUGCUCGAAAAUAUAGUAUAAGCAUAGCAAGCUUGUCCGGUGAUUAAUAUUUCUGUUCAUGGAUACAGAGAGAUAUCCCUGUUAUUCCUAUCAAGUUGAAAGCAAGCAUAUCCCAGAUGAGCAUGAACUAGCUGUCCAGUCAAAAUUUUCAAUUAAGCAAACAUUAUGUUUUUUUUGUUAUGGCUAAUCAACACCGAAUAAAGCAAAGAUUCUGCACUAUAGUUCACAUUUGUUUCAUUGGAUGUUCUGUCCUUAGUAAUUUUCUUUAGCUCUCUAUAUGUAUAACAUGCUACUGUGUUGCUAGUGGGUUAGCUACUAUGCUACUCGCCUUUGCCUAAAAAUCAUUGUAAGUUCCCAAGCUACUGGUAGUCAUGAUUAAAAUAUAUAAUAUACACUUGAUGUGCAUAUGUUUGCCAUUCAUAUAAUUUGCAAAGAUUCAGAAGUUUCGAAUCUUAUCCUACAUGAUACACCAUAUGCUCCAAAGCACAAUUUUAAAUCAGGAGUACGUUUCAGAUAUCUAUGCCCAAAAUAUUAUGUAGAUGACAUGGUCAGUAUGCAGUAAAAGUUGAACAAAAAUUGAUUUCCUAAAUAAAUGCUACAGAAUUAACUAAGAAAAUUGGUAGCAACCUCAUGGGCAAGCAUACCUGAAGACCGGAGAUUUCUUCUCCAACGUUCACAUAUGGCGGAGCUAGACGCGGGGGUGCGAGCGCUGUGUGAAGAAUGCGCGAGGUUUUGCACUGGACGUCGGAGAAGAGUACCUUUGAGAUGGUCCGCCGGGGCAGGACGACGGACUAGAGUAUUUGUCCGCACAGAGGAGAUCUGCCGGGGCAGCGAGGACGCCGGCGACAAGACGGUGGGGUGCUGGAUCUGGACCUCCACUGGGCGCAAUCAUCCAGCUAGGCACCGGAUCUAGCCCGCCGCCACCGUCGGCAAGCUCUCUAUCGCCCAGCUACGCCGCGUUGGAGGAUUUUGGUUCUGUUGCGUUCCUGGGAAGGAGGAGAUGAUUCUGAAAGCAAAACUAGUAGAACCAAGGGAGUU